rnacentral:lncRNA from 1 species
GUAUACUUUCAUUUUAUCGGCCAUAAUCCUUAAGUUUUUUCCUUUUUUUUUAAAAAAUUUUAUGUAUAUUUAUUUUGCGCCUUUUUAAGAUUAUUUACAUCAUCUGUUACAAUCUUUAAGCAGUCUCCGAGUAAGACAAGUACAGUUUGAACUAAUAGUAUAUCGACGGUGAAACUACCAGACCACGAAUCUUGUCUACGGUGCUUAAAAAUCUCUGCCCCAUUUUGUUUGAAUGAGAACAAGUCAGUAUCAUUCCGAAAAGUUUUCACAAAGAGAGGAAAAAUCAUGGAGGUUUUCAAAAGCAGAUUUGAGUAGUUUUCCAUUUAGAAAGUUGAGCCUGUCAGGUCUGAAACGUCGCAAACCGAGAUACGUGGUCUGGUGGUUUCACCGUUGAUAUGGGCGUUACAAAUUGUAAUUGAAUACAGUUUUUUGACGUGAUUCAAUGUAAUUUUUCAGUGUAAUGCUAAGACAUUGAAAGAGAAUUCAACCUUGUCACAUAGUGCUUGCACGGCCGAGUGUUUUGCCAUCUCCGAUACCAUUCGUGCCGGUCACCUGAACAAUCCGCGACAUAAGCUCAUCUCGAAGCUACACCGAGAAUGUACCGGCUUUGAUGAAGGAGUUUGCGAGGCAGGAUGGAGAACUCCUUUUUGUGAGUGCCGGGGAGUGGGUUUCAAGAAAACGUCUCGGUCCUGCCGCGGCCGCAUCUUCGGGAUCCGCAUUAUCAACAACGUUGUAACCUUCGUCUCCGACGGGAUCAAGAAUUACAAUGACUGGCGAAUCAACUACAUACAACGGAAGAAACGAGAGCUCGCUAACUGGGAUCUAUGGAGGGAAGCCUACGGGAAAAAUUACGAAACCGAAGCUGAGGCGGUGGCGGCUUACAAGCGGAUGCAGCGGGAAAUAUACGAAAAGGAAUUGGGGCCGUCGAUACUCAGUGGUGGCCACGGGGACAGCUUCCAUGAACCCUGGAUCCCCCCAGAUCCAAAAGAUCCUUCAGGUGGUGGAGAUCUCUCUCGAGAUCCUCCAGAUCCUCAAGCUCCUCCAGAUCCUCGAGCUCCUCAAGCUCCUCCAGAUCCUCGAGCUCAAGGCGUUUUUCUUUUGACAGAAAUGACUCACGCUCGAAUUCCAGAAAGAAGCCCGUCACAGUCACAGAGCUCGAACACUCGUCAUUGGAUAGAGCACUCAGCGAUGUCCCCGUAACCCAUUAGGGCACAAGUUUUUUUUUAUUUUCUUUAUUAUUUUAUUUUUUCUUUCUUUUUUAUUAUUUAAUUGUUGUAUUUUUGUAUUUUUUGUAUUUUGUAUUUUUUUAUUUUUUAGUUUUAUUUUUUAUUUUUUUAUUUUUUAUUAUUUAAUUUUUAAUUUUUUGUUAUUUUAUUAUUUUAUUUUUUUUAAUUGUUUUUAUUUUUUUUUUUUUCUUAUUUUUAUUUUUUUUAAUUUUUAAUUUUUUUAUUUUUAUUUUUAUUUUUAUUAAUUUUUUUUAUUUUUUAUUAGCAUAUAGCAUAUAGCAUAUAACUCUCUAUUCGAAGGUCUCGAAGAUGUUUAACUAAACUUUUUGGAACUUAUCCCCGUUACUGACACACAUUUUUUACACACAAAUUUUAUUAUCAUAAUUAUUAUUUUUUUAAUAUAAACGUUUUAUUUUGGAUUAGGUAAUUAUUUUUUAGGUUUAAAAGAAGGAGCACUUAUAAGUGACCCUGCAUAAAGCAAGUUUUUAAAACCGUCGUCGAGAAAAACGAUUGGAUUGGUUUUUUUUUCAUUAUUACUUUUUACCUAGAAAGAAGAAGCACUUCCGGUAUUAAUACCAUCAGACCACAGGCCAAAGUCAGCAAUACACACUCACUUGGUUGAGUUGAUUGAAAUCAUGCACUUGAAGUAAAUUAGAACACGGAGAAGAAAACUUGAGGACCGAUAAAAAACUCACAAAUUGGAUUAAAAAAAUUACUCGAUAUUAAGAAACGACCUGAUGAAACACAACGUGCAUAACGGAAUUCUGCAUUGAUUCGAGCAGGUGACUCUGACUCUAACUCUAGGUUAUUAUAAUUAUGCUUUUAAUUUUAAUGAUUAGGUGAUUUGAUUUAAAUGAUUUACAUUAGAUGUGGUGUGAUCAUGGUUUGAUUUGUUUUCAUUGUAUGUUUAUAAGGAAUAAGCAAAUUUAAAAGAAAAAAUAAAUAAAUUAAAUAAGUUUUU